ensembl:lncRNA
GUUGAACUCAUUUAUGCCCUGUGCUUCAGCUGCUUGUUCCAAUAACUUAUUCCAUAUGUUUAUUUCCUUUAGUGUGAAAAGAUUUGGCUCAAGCUUUCUUUUUUAUUUAUAGUUUCCUGAGUUUUCAGUCCUGUCUCUGCUCGCCUGCUCCCUUUCCCGUACGCACACACCCGGGAGUGUGAAGGAGCAAGUGCCGACAGCUACAACCGCGAUUCACAGGUUCUUGAAAGGGUUGCUGUUGUUUCCGGACAGUCAUCCCGGGCUGCUGUCCCCAGGCCAUCGAGGCCGACUGCUUAGCCUGCAGCCUGGGCCUGCACUCCUGAGACACUCCGCUGCUAUCCGACUGGGUCCAUGCCCUCUCGCUCCUCAGGUUGGAGUACAGUGGCGUGAUCUUGACUCACCGCAGCCUCCGCCUCCCUGCUUCAAGAGAUUCCCCUGCCUGAGCCUCCCGUGGUCUAUUUAUUUGUUAACCAACUUUAUGUUAUUGGUAAGGUGACGUGGUCUGGAUCUGUGUUCCCAUCCAAAUCUCACGUUCAACUGUAAUCCCUAAUGUUGGAGGUGGGGCCUGGUGGGAGGUGAUUUGAUCAUGGGGACGGUUUCUAAUGUUUUAGCGCCAUCUCUCCAGUGCUGUUCUCCUGAUAGAGUUCUCACGAGAUCUGGUUGUGUGAAAGUGUGUGGCUCCCUCUCCUUCUCUUCCUCCUGCGCUGGCCACCUGAUACGUCGGCUCCCUCUUUGCCUUCCACUGUGAUUGUAAGUUUCCCGAGGCCUCCCUAGAAGCUAACAGAUGCUGCCAUACUUCCUGUACAUUCUGCAGAACUGUGAGCCAAUUUAAACCUCUUUUCUUUUUUUCUUUUUGAGAUGAAGUCUCUCUCUGUUGCGCAGGCUGGAGUGCAGUGGCUGAAUCUCGGCCCCCUGCAACCUCCACCUCCCGGGUUCAAGCGAUUCUCCUGCCUCAGCCUCCUGAGUAGUUGGGACUACAGGCACAUAUCACCACGCCCGGUAAUUUUUAUAUUUUAAGUAGAGACGGGGUUUUACCAUGUUGGCCAGGCUGGUCUCAAACUCCUGACCUUGUGUUUCAUCCACCUGGGCCUCCCAAAGUGCUGGGAUUACAGGGGUGAGCCACUGCACCCAGCCUAAACCUCUUUUCUUUAUAGAUGUUUCUCUAUAGCAAGCCAGAACGUACUAAUACAUAAGGCUUCUGGUUAACAGUAGGUUAGUAGUAGUUAAGUUUUUGGAGAUCAAAAGUCAUACAUGGAUUUUCUGCUGCACAGGGAUUGGCACUCCAAGCAUUCCAUACAGUUCAAGGCUCAUCUGUUUCUUACAGCAGCCCGAAGAGGCUGAGAAAAGUCCAUUCUCUAAUCUGUUGGUGAUGUAAUUUAUUUAAGUGGAAAUCCUUAAAAUCUUCAUGGGUUUUCUGAAGCCCUACAAAGUCAAGUGCACACUCCUUACAUCCUGAAUAUGAUCACAUAAAGUUAUUAUAUUUCCCUCCGCAGACUCACCCUGCCAGACCUCUGCAGCUUUGCUGGUGGGGUUCAGGCACAGGUACCCCAUACUCCAGGCAAGCUGUACUUCCGGUCCUUUCCCAUGCAGUCACCCCUCACCAUUCCAAGCUUUUCAUUCCUGCCCAUUUUACUCCUCUUAACUCUCUUCCAGACACAUUAAUUUUAUUUCAUUUCCUGAAAAAUGGGUGUUUAUUUGAAAUUACAUAUUAUUCUGUAUGAUCUACUUUUCCGUUAUACAAAUGCUGUAAUUUAAACAAAACAAUAAGGCUGGGUGCAGUCACUUGCACCUAUAAUCCCAGCUACCUGGGAGGCCGAGGCAGGAAAGUUGCUUGAACACAGGAAUUGGAGGCUGCAGAGAGGUACAAUCACGCCACUGCACUCCAGCCUGGGUGACAGGGUGAGACCCUGUCUCAAAAAAAAAAAAAAAAAGACUAGUUAAGAGUGAUAAUUGGAAGCAUUUUAGUUGCAAUAAUUAAAUAAUGUGUGAGAAAAAUGUAACAAAAUUUUUUCUCUCCUCUUCUACACAUUUUA